rnacentral:snRNA from 1 species
AUACUUACCUGCCAGGGAAAAUACCAUGAUCACAAAGGUGUUUUUCCCAGGGCAAGGCUUAUCCAUCACACUGUGUAUGUGCUGACUCCUGUGAUUUCCCCAAAUCUGGAAAAUUUGACUGCAUAAUUUGUGGUAAUGAGGGACUGUGUUCAUGCUCUCCCCUU